rnacentral:rRNA from 1 species
ACCGGCAGCUCAAGUGGUGGCCAUUUUUAUUGGGCCUAAAGCGUUCGUAGCCGGUUUGAUAAGUCUCUGGUGAAAUCCCGCAGCUUAACUGUGGGACUUGCUGGAGAUACUAUUAGACUUGAGGUCGGGAGAGGUUAGGGGUACUCCCAGGGUAGGGGUGAAAGCCUAUAAUCCUGGGAGGACUACCUGUGGCGAAGGCGCCUAACUGGAACGAACCUGACGGUGAGUAACUAAAUGCAGGGGUGCGCGCCG